AGAGUUUGAUCCUGGCUCAGAGCGAACGCUGGCGGCAGGCCUAAUACAUGCAAGUCGAACGCACCUUCGGGUGAGUGGCGGACGGGUGAGUAACACGUGGGAACGUGCCCUUUGGUUCGGAAUAAGCCGGGGAAACCUGGUCUAAUACCGGAUGUGCCCCCUUCCUUAGCGGGAAGGGUGGGAAAGAUUUAUCGCCAUUGGAGCGGCCCGCGUCUGAUUAGCUAGUUGGUGGGGUAAUGGCCCACCAAGGCUACGAUCAGUAGCUGGUCUGAGAGGAUGAUCAGCCACACUGGGACUGAGACACGGCCCAGACUCCUACGGGAGGCAGCAGUAGGGAAUCUUGCGCAAUGGGCGAAAGCCUGACGCAGCCAUGCCGCGUGAAUGAUGAAGGUCUUAGGAUUGUAAAAUUCUUUCAGCGGGGAAGAUAAUGACUGUACCCGCAGAAGAAGCUCCGGCUAACUUCGUGCCAGCAGCCGCGGUAAUACGAAGGGGGCUAGCGUUGCUCGGAAUUACUGGGCGUAAAGGGCGCGUAGGCGGGUGUCUAAGUCAGAGGUUAAAUCCCAGGGCUCAACCUUGGAACUGCCUUUGAUACUGGACGCCUAGAGUUCGGGAGAGGUGUGUGGAACGCCGAGUGUAGAGGUGAAAUUCGUAGAUAUUCGGCAGAACACCAGUGGCGAAGGCGACACACUGGCCCGAUACUGCGCUGAGGCGCGAAAGCGUGGGGAGCAAACAGGAUUAGAUACCCUUGUAGUCC
rnacentral:rRNA from 1 species